rnacentral:lncRNA from 1 species
GAGAUCCCUCCGCUUCCGCGCCGGAAACUGGGCUUUGCUUUGGAGUCUCGGGCGGUGGCAGCUCCGAUUCCACAGCCUGAAGACUAUGAGCUCGGAGGGUCCGCGAAGGGCCGCCCGGCCUCGGCCCCCGCCUCCUGCGCGUCGCCUGACAGCAUUACCGUUUCCACAGUGACAGCGUUUCCUCCGGCGGCCCUCCCGCCGCCUCCAGGGCCAUGGCUUCGUCCCGGGCACCCCUUCCGCACGUCACUUCCGGAAGCGACUCGCUCUGACGCCGUCCGCCCUCGUUGCCAUGGAGACGCUUGCGCUUUCCCGGGCCGCACUUCCCACCCGGGUCUUCAGAAGCCCGUGGCCGCUGGGUGAGCCCCUGCGUGAACGCACACGCACGCACACGGCUUCAGGUUGCCCCGCGGCGCCGCGCGCGAUAUCGGCUCGGAUCCCGGGAGGCCGUCCGCCCCUUUUUCAGCGGAUAGCUGAGGCCAGGUAAGUGACCGCGCGAGGACCCGGGAACUCCGUGACGCCCGUCCCGCCUCUGCUGUCCCCGCCGCAAGCGCUGCGCUCUGCACGGCGAGAGGGGCCUCUUGCCCUGUUGAGAGCCGGCGGGCACGGCACUUCUGCGCUUGGAAAAGGGUGGUCCAGCACUGCAGGUCCCACUCCUUGGCCCGGUCAGCGUCCGCCUUUGCUGAACCCCGAAAGGAUUCACCAGGUCCAGGACAGCCCGGCAGUUGCCUCAGGAGCACUUACUGAGCGCCUGUCGUUGACGCCCCCACCUCGAUGGCAGCUCAGGGGUGCCCUCAAGCUUUUGAGGGCAGGUGUCGUGUAUUUAAAUUCUUCACAGUUUAGCGGGCUGGACUCACGGGGGUGCUGCAGACUUGGACGGGGUUUCAUCUGGGUCGGACCUUGCUGGGCAGAAAGCUUCUCCUACCAGACAAAGUACGGCGACCUUGGGGGGUCUUGGUUCUUACCUCGUGUUCCUCAUUGAAUGAGUGUUGGUUCAGUGCUCUCGCUGUGCCAGGUGUUGUGCGAAGUACUGUGAGGGAGAAUAUGUAUUUAUUUGUGGGGAGCCGACUUUAAACCGGUGGUUGGGAAAGGCCUGAGAGGCGAUAUUGAAGACACCUGAAGGGUGAGUGAAAGAGCACGGCGGGUGAGUGGAGCAGCUUUCUCGUGCAGGUCCCGGGGUGGGAAAGAGGUUGGUGUAUUUGAAGCACUGAAAGGCAGCCACUGAAGCUGAAGUGUAGCAGUUUAACCCAUGGUUUUAUAUUCUCCUGGGAGGAUUCAGAAGGGUGUAUGUGUGUAUGUAUAUAUAAUAGCCUGAAUAUAAACGUCAAGGGUGUUAGGUUUUGAAGGGAAGGUGAAGGUUAAAGAAUGACGCACAGUGAGAUUGCCGGCGCGCGGGCGGCUCUACAGCAACACAGGUGUAUUGCAAACACCUGUCGGGGGCCAGCUUAAUGCCAGAGCCCACCAGCGAUUACAGGCUGGGGUACUCAUAGGCCUGGGCAGGAGGGAUCUAGGCAGUAUGGCUUGCUGUCCGGGAAGAUGUUAACGUGUUCCCAGGAUGAGGUGGUUCCGGCAGAAUGUGGUGUUCCUGGCGCUUUGUCCCAGCAGAAUAUGUUAAGAGGCAGGCUGUUUCUCAUGGCUCGAACCCCCGUGGAAUGUUUCACUUUGACCAAGGUCUACAAAAUGGAAAGGGGCUUACAAAAUGACGCAGUUUGGACUAACAAAGGGGAAAAUACAGAGGAUGAAAUUAGACUCUAGAGGUUGAGGCUCAGGAAAGGCUUCAUACAGCUUUGGGAACUGACAAGGCUUUGAAAGCAGGGUCAGUUUUCAGCGAAUGAGCGUCACCCACUGCACCCUGCGCACCCUGCUCCCCUGCUGCGGUGUCUUUCCCACCAGAGUGUAGCAGGACAAGCCGCAGACAAAACCCCUCAGACACCGAGUUAAAGAAGGGCUUUAUUCAGCUGGGAGCUUCGGCAAGACUCACGUCUCCAACAACCGAGCUCCCCGAGUGAGCAAUUCCUGUCCCUUUUAAGGGCUCACAACUCUUCAGGGGUCUGCGUGAGAGGGUCGUGAUUGAUUGAGCAAGCAGGGGGUACGUGACUGGGGGCUGCAUGCACCCGUAAUUAGAACGGAACAGAACAGGACAGGGAUUUUCACGGUGCUUUUCUAUAUAACGUCUGUAAUCUAUAGAUAGCAUCACUGAUUAGGUCAGGCGUCGAUCUUUAACUACCAGGCCCAGGGUGUGGUGCAGGCUGUCUGCUUGUGGAUUUCAUUUCUGCCUUUUAGUUUUUACUUCUCUCUUUGGAGGCAGAAAUUGGGCGUAAAACAAUAUGAGGGGUGGUCUCCCUUAUUCUCCCUCUCUGAGAAUCUCACUCAGUAGUGGGAGUUGUCACUUUUAUUUUUACUACCUAUGUUUUCUUGCAAGACAGAUCGAUAGUGAUUCAUAUAGUACAGUUGUGCUGAAGCAUUUUGGUGAACUAAGGUAGCGAUGAAGCUUUUUAUCAUUUGAAGAAGUAUGGGUAGCAAACAAGGGAGCAGAACGCAGGUUUCUAUUGCUAUUGUAACUCCUAAUAUAAGAGUUUUAAAUCUUUUUAGUGCUGGGAACCAUUUUCCAAACAUGGCCCCAGGACCAAAUCCAUGCCACACUUGCACGGGCACAUGUGCCAGUUUUGUCAUAUUUCUAACUGUGUCUUCAACUAAUUGCCCUCGAUCAUCUAUGUGUAGACAGCAAUUAGUAAGGUUAAAUUUUUUACAGACCUCUCCUUCAGCUGCUAGCAAGUAGUCGAGAGCCAAUCUAUUUUGAUAGAUAGCAUUUCUCAUCUGAGUUUCUUGCCAGGCCAGAAUAGUCAAGGCUCUGCCGGUCUUAUUAGUGAUUAUUUCUAAGACAGCUUGUAACCGUAUGAUUCGGUUGAGCAUGUAAAUGGGGGUCGGGUAUCCCUAGGAGCCAUCUUGUGCCUAAGUACCAGGCCCAUAAUAUUGUAUGAUUCUUUCAGGGGGCCAUGUAUUAUCUUUUGAAUUUUUUAUAGCUAUGCUUCUCUUUUUGCGGGAAGCACAGACAGGGAAGCCCAGGAGUUCGCCUGUCUUUAUGGGCAGUAGGAAGAAAGAUGGUUUAAUAGUGCCAAUAACAUGACUACCUGCCCACUGGUCGGGUAAUUUGGUGUAAACUCUAUGCCUACAUAUCCAGUAUAAUCCAGUGGGGGCUGUCCAGUCCCUGUGGGACUCCGGGUGGGUUCACACAGUUUGCAACUUUGGGAAUUUACUAAAUGGAUUUUUCUUAGUGUGGUUUGAACUCCACUAGGUGGCUGUUUUUGUAGUAGUAUUAUACAGUUUUUGCCUAAGCAGCUGAGUCUUCCCACAGGAAAGGUGAAGUCCUUCCCCACUCUUGCUAUAUACAGUAUUGUCUAAUGAUUGAGGCUUUUAGGACCCAGAAGUUAUCAGGGUGAUUCUUUUGAGCCGGGAAUUCAUCAGGAACUGGGUCUGUAGGUACUAAUUCUCGGGCUUCCCGUGGCCAUUGAUCUCCCAUUACAGUUCGUCCACACACAUAACAUGAAGUGACAUUGAGAGACUGGGCCACAUGCUCGGCUAAUUGCAAAAACAAAUGUCUUGUUUUUCCUGGAAUUUCUGGUGCAGGCACAUUCAGUUGAUCAUAGAAGGUUUGAAAUACUGUCUCAGGAGAGCGUUUAUAAAUUUCUCCUCAAACCAUGAUAUUUACUCAAGGAUCCAGUUCAGCCCCAUUGAUUCCUAGGGUUACAUGCUCCCCUUUUUUCCAGCGAGGAUCAAGGGGGUUGGUUAUUACUAGUUCUAAGGGGUUACACUGACCACUGGUACAGGAAGGGCCACUUUUUCCUUUUUGAAGGUGGACAGGAUCCUUUUUAUUUUUUAUUUAAGUAGCCUAAAUGACACAAGACCAGUAUUUACAUUUAUUUCCACACAGUUUUAAUUUAUGACAAAUGUACUUAUUUUUUGUCAUAUGGCCUCUUUUCUAAUUAAGGGAACCACAUUCUAUUUUUAACUUAUUACUAUUAAUGACAGCACAGGCAUCAAACUUUAAAGUGACUUGUUUGGGCACCCCUUUUUCUUUCAUUUUGGCUAACACUUUACUCGUAUCGUUUAUGAGUCCCUACCAGUCCUCAGUCCUUAAUCUUAUUUCAAAAGCUGUGGUCAUGGGAGACUCAGGUCAUAACACACAUCAGGUUGGUCAUUUCUUGGGCUACAUACCUUGCAUAGAAUAGCAUUAUACAAACUUUUUUUUUUUUUAGAGUCCUGGUACACUUACAAUAAUCAUAAAAUAAUAGGACUGUGGCAACUUUUUGUCCUACCUCAGUGACUUGAUGUAUACACUGGGAACAGUCCUCAGUCUGAGGAAGGUCAGUUGAAGUCCUUACUGUACAAGUCCAAAUUUUAAGGAAAAUGAGUCCCACGAUGAGUUUUCUCAUGCUUCGGCCGUGUGUGGACCAGUCAGCUUCCAGUUGUGACUGGAGCAGGGCUUGUCGUCUUCCUCAGAGUCACUUUGCAGGGGCUGGCGAAGCUGCUUCCGUCCACGUACCACUCACAGCCUACUGAUGUUCAAGGAUGGUCUCGGAGGUUGCGCCUGCUAGAAUAAACUGAGUCCAACACCUCUACACAGUUAUGUUCAACUGGGCUCUCUCAUAUCAGGAGCAAGGUGGCGGGGUUUAGCGUGUUGCAAACUGCAGUGGUUAUGUGGGGAUUUUCACGUAGCAAGCUUUGGUACUUGGUUAAUCUAGCAUUUGUUAACCAGUGAUGACCUUUGGUAGUCAUUAAAGUUACCACAGCGUGGGGGGCCUUUAUAUUCAGGUUUUGUCCAAGGGUUAGUUUAUCUGCUUCUUGUGCUAACAGGGCCGUUGCUGCCAGGGCCCUUAGACACGGGGGCCAGGCUUUGGAAACCCCGUCUAGUUGUUUUGAGAGAUAGGCCACUGGCCUUAGCCAGGGUCCCACAGUCUGGGUUAAAACUCCAACUGCAUUUUUUCUCUUUCUGACACAUAGGGUGUAAAGGGUUUUGUCAGGUCUGAUAGCCCCAGGGCUGGGGCCUACGUUUUUCUUUUAACUCAUGAAAAGCUUGUUGCUGUUUGUUGUAAUAGAUGUAGUUUAUCCAAUUUACAUUUUUAUUAACUGUCAUCUACCAAAAUAUUGACUCAAAUCCUGCCGCUAUUUGAUUUCAAGUUUUAAAUUGAUCUAGUAUUCCCCGUGGGACUCCAAUUGCGUCUAAAUGGAAAUGAGAGUCGAAAGACCCAUAAGGGGCUUCUCUUGCUUUACGAUGUCUUAUUUUUCCUCCCUCUGGUUGAUGGAAUGCCAGGGUGAAAGGGAUAGCCAAUCGGACUAAAGUACAAGCGCCACUCCAGUUAUUCGGCAGAGUGCCCAGUAAAGGUCCACCACAAUACCACCACACAUCCGCUCACAUCCACUCAGGGAUGAACAAGGGCUGGCUGAUUGAUAGGCUCUUGAAAAUUUUUAAGCUCACUGCAUCCCUUCAGGUUUCCAAGGAAUGCUAAGUUUCCUCCCUGUCAUGAGAGACACGAAGUGAACUUAGUAUUGGGAGACGGCGGCUCGAUGGCCCUCGGGGGCUGACCCGCAAGGCGCCAGACUUUCGGAUACAGCAGAGAGAGCUUGGCACAACUUAUUACUCCAGGCUGUAGAAUCCUGGAGAAGAGCUACCAUGCAGCCACACCUGGUCGACUGGAGGACCACCUUAGUGGAAAGGGGACAAUCAGGACCUCUGGCCUGCCAUGUGCACAAGCGUAACAGUUGCUUUUGUUUAACGUGCGGAUGGAAUAUUUGAUCCAUUUCAACCAGGCAUUUGCAUCUUGGUAUGCUGUCUUAAUUGCCAAAGUUUGUUUUAAGUCUUUAACUAAUAUGAACUUCUAGUAAAAUGAAUGUAUGAUUUUGGGAAAUUACAAAAACUGGUUGGGGCAGUCCAUUCUUGCUCUUUAGUGGUCCACAGAAUGUUGGACCAACUACGGCAUAAAAGCUCUACAUUGGGGAGCAAGACUCCUGGUUGACACUGGAGUCUUUAUUGAAAUUCCCCCGGAUUAAAUGGUCCUAAUUUACUAAUGCCCAGUCUGAGGAGAGUCAGGAGGGACAGAAGUACUUUUCUGAAGUAGAGAGCUGUCUUCGACUUGGCAAGUCCCCACAGGGUAUAACAAGACAAGCAUUAAAUGCAAUAGUUUGAGGUGAAAUUGAUUUGGUUGUGUUAAUAACCAGAUGGUCAGCAAUAGAGCGAGGAAAGAAGAAAGAGUAAUAGAAUAGAUAAAAGAGUUAAAUAUUUCUUAGCUUUAGUUUGGUAGGGUUUUCCCCUUGGACUGGGGCCCACGACUCCGGAGGGGGUGGAGCUUUGACUCGGGUGUGAUGAGUCCAUCCCUUUUCCACUGUAGGGACAGCAGUCUCGGUGGUUAGCAGCACAAGGUCGGGUCCUUCCUAGGCUGGCUUGUUUUCUUUCCUCCCUUUGUUUUCUUUCUUUCCUUUGAUAAGAAAAACUUUUCCUUUGAAAAAUUUGUUUUCUUUCCUCCCUUUGAUAAGAAGGUGAUCUUCAGGCUGGUGCUGGUUUACUGGAAAUUCUAGGGCUGGCACCUGUGCUAAAAGGCUUUUAGUUUUGAGGGAAAGGAAAGUGGAAGACAAACCAAGUAUAUAAUUUCUAAGAAAUUGAUUUUUUGUUUCAAAUGUGGGGACAUCAAGAGUGGACUUUAUAGGCUUUGGUGCCUUUUUACUGAGAAAUUUCCUUUACCACCUAUUUUUAUUAGUUUUUGGACCAAAGAAAGCCAAACACUGUUUUAUAUUUAAUAAUGCUUUCUGUAUGAUUUUUAUACCAGAUAAGCUAAAUUUCACCUUUAUAUUAGUGUGCUAUUAAUGUUAAACUUAGUUUUAAUAAAACUUUGUAUACAUAUUUAUUCAAUUUUUAAUGUCAGACCGUAAGGUAAGAUUUUUAUAGACUCUUUUUAACCUUUUAUAAUCUUUGUUAAAGAGCAAGUUAGUGCUUUAAGAAAAACCCAUUGUGUUUUUACUUUAAUGUCCAGUUCACAGAAAAACUGGAUGAUACCCCUUUAACUUUAGCUAAUACGUUUACACACAGAAUUUUUUUAUAAUUAAUGUUUUAAAACUUGCUUAAACCUUCAAAACAAUUUUUUUAACCUUUUAAUCUAGGUAAAAAUUUACAUUCUUAUGCCUUCUUAUAAUCCUUUUACCAAAGGUAUAUUUACUUUUCUUAUACACCUUGUGUUAGCGCCUCCGUGUGAAAAGCCCACCAAACAGGCUUUGUGUGAGCAACAAGGCUGUUUAUUUCACCUGGGUGCAGGCGGGCUGAUUCUGAAAAGAGUCAGCAAAGGGUGGUGGAUUAUCAUUAGUUCUUACAGGUUUGGGGUAGGCGGUUGGGUUAGGAGCAAUGUUUUGCCGGCAGGGGGUGGAUCUCACAAAGUACACUCUCAAGGGUGGGGAGAAUUACAAAGAACCUUCUUAAGGGUGGGAGAGAUUACAAAGUACAUUGAUCAGUUAGGAUGGGGCAGAAACAAAUCACAAUGGUGGAAUGUCAUCAGUUAAGGCUAUUUUCACUUCCUUUGUGGAUCUUCAGUUGCUUCAGGCCAUCUGGAUGUAUAUGCAGGUCACGGGAUAUGAUGGCUUAGCUUGGGCUCAGAGGGCUGACAUUCCUGUCUUCUUAUAUUAAUAAGAAAAGCAAAACAAAAUAGUGGUGAAGUGUUGGAGCAGUGACAAAUUUUGGGGGUGGUAUGGAGAGAUAAUGGGCGAUGUUUCUCAAGGCUGCUUCGAGCGGGAUCAGGGGCGGUGUGGGAACCUACAGUGGGAGAGAUUCAACUGAAGAAAGAUUUUGGGGUUGUUAGAAGGAGCAUUUGUCAUAUAGAAUUACUGAUGAUGGCCUGGAUGCGGUUUUAUAUGAAUUGAGAAACUAAACGAAAGACACAAGGUCCGAAUAAAAGAAGGAGAAAAAUAGGUAUUAAAGGACUAAGAAUUGGGAGUACCCAGGACGUCCAAUUAGAGAGUGUCCAAGGGGGUUCAAUGUUAUUGUUUGCUUGGUUGGCGAGCUUUUGGGCUCUAUCCUUGAGUUUUUUUAUGUUGUCAUAUAGCAGGCCAGAUUGAUUUAGGUAAAAACAACACUCUUCAUUUAAAAAUAUACAGAGUCCUCCUUUUUCAGCAGUGAGUAAAUCGCGGCCUUGGCCGUUCUGGAGGACAACUGCAGCUAAAGAGUUAACCUGGGCUUGGAGAACAGAUAAAGUUUGUGAUCUAUCUGUAGUGCUAGCAGAGAAGUCAUUAGAGAGGCUGCGGACUGUUGUGACAGAGGUUGAGAUGCCUGCUAUUCCAGUUCCAAGUGCAAUACUGGAGGCAGAAAGUCCUAGACCAAUAAGUAAAGGGAUUAGUGGGAUGACUCUUUUUUGUUGUGUUGAUGUCAUGAGGGGGACAGGCAGUUGUUCGUUCCCAUCUGCAAACUGGAUUUUGGAGGUAAGGAAGACUAGAGUACAUGUGCCCAUCCAUUUGGCAGGUAGGCACAUGUAGGUGGAAGAGCCACAUAAAAAGAAGAGACCUUGUGUCAGGCAGAACUGGAAAUGUAAAGUGAAAAGGUGAGAGGGUGUACUGAAAGAGGAAUCCUGCAUCCAGAAUCCUAGCGAUCCAGCAAGGGCAGCAGCCGUUAGAGGUUGUAAUGGGGAUUGAUGGUGCAACUGCGUAGAGGGAGGGGUUUGGUUUUCAUGGUGUAUGAGAAAGCGCAUAGUGUCUACAAGUAACCUUUCGCUGCUAUUCAUGGGGCAGGGUAUAAGCAAGCAAGAGGAGGGGCUAGGAGGAGAUUCAGACGAGCAGGGGAGGGUGGUAGCCAAGGAUGGGGUGAGAUGCAGGGUAGGUGUCUUCCUAAACAAUAGUGACUGCCAAUGUUUUUUAGUUUGUCAAUAAUGAUAGAGGGCUUGUCAGUAAUGCGAAGUUGGAAUGCUCCCAUCUGUUUGGUAAUGUGUGUGGCUGGGUUCUGGAGACAAAGAGUAAAGGAACAUUUGGACGGUGGAAGGUUGCCUAAAGGGAUUCCAGCAGGCUGUUGUCGGGAGAUGCAUAAAGAAACGGCAACAGGGAUAGUUGUUUGUGUGGUUGGGGUCCAAAUAUGGGAGGAGUGGAAUUGACAUAAGGAGAAAGAUGCCGUAAGUAGAUGCGGAGAAGUGUGGCAGCUCGUUGGUGUGAAAUGUCUGGGGAGUUCUCACCAAAUCUGUCUAGAAAAUAAAGAAGUUCCUCAGGCGGGUAAAGAUGAGGGUUAUUAAAGGAGGUUCUGAGUUGCAGGGAGACGGGAGAGGUAGCCCAGUCAGCCUGUAGAGCAGGGAUGGCUGUGUAAAAGCAGGAGGAAAGGGAAACGCGUAGCCAACAAUUCUUUGCUAGAAAAGGAUUGGAGGCAGUGAGGAGAGAGUGGGUGAGAUUGAUAGUAUGCUGGAGGUAACUGGGGAGAGGUAGAGAGUGGCAUAAGAAUGGGAAUGAGAAUAAGAGUGAAUAUAAAAGUAAAGAAUAGAACUUCAUCAGGGUGGAAGUGUUGGAGGGUGCCCUGCCACCAAAGAUCAUCUAUCCACUCCAAGCAGGAGUCAAGAGUGGCGGUUUGGGGAUAUCACCAGGAGAUAUCAGCUGUGAUGUCUUGGAGAAACAAUGUAAACUGGCAGUGUAAACAAGAGCAGGUCAUUUAUGAGUAGUUGAGAAUGGUGAAUAGGAGUAUGACUAGACAGAAGAUAGUAGGGAUGACAGGUUUUUGGGGCACAGUCCAAGUAGUGGGGGUGACUGCGUAAAGCCCUGUUGCGAAGAGUAGGGUAAGGAUGGAUAGACCUAAUAGAAUGAAGGGAUGUAUUAGGCUCAUAAGGGUUAUUGUUCUUCAGAAAUGCGAGUGAGUUUAAGGGAAGUAGGGGAGAGUACUUGCGACUUCCAGGAGGAAGAGGAGAUAUCGGACUGGCUGUCUGACGGACACAGCUUUAUUCUGGAACGGUGAACCCAGUGGGGAGGGUUCUGCAGGCAGAUGGUGGUUGGGGGUACUAUAGAUGUUUAAGUAGGGUCCGGUCCAUCGAGGUUGUAGAGUUUGAGGGGUCAGAUUAUUAACAAGAACUGACCAUCCAGCUAGGGUGUCUUCAUGUGGCUGGGAAUCUGGAGUAGGCAAGAGAAGAUUAGCAGCCUGGCGAAUUUCCUGUCUAGCCUGCUGAAAGACUGGAAGAUAGUUGCCUAGAGGGCUGGUGUCUGGGAUGAGGUUGGGGCUGAGCAAGAAAGUGCGUCCACAUAAAAGUUUAAAUGGACUGUACCGUGUAGCUUCUUGAGGACAGGCUCUAAUUCUGAGAAGGGCAAGAGGUAGAAGUACUGUCCAGUCCUUUUUAAGCUGGAGGCUGAGCUUGGUGAGGUGUGUCUGUAAAAGACCAUUAGUCCCUUCUACCUUUCCUGAAGAUUGAGAUGGUAAGGGAUAUGAAGGUUCCACUGAAUACCAAGAGCCUGAGAAACUGCUUGGGUGAUUUGACUAAUAAAGGCCGGUCCGUUAUCAGACUGUAUAGAGGUGGGAAGGCCAAACCGAGGAAUUAUGUCUGACAGAAGAGAAGAAAUGACUGCGGUGGCCUUCCCAGACCCUGUGGGAAAGGCCUCUACGCAUCCAGUGAAAGCAUCUAUCCAGACCAAGAGGUAUUUUAGUUUCCUGACUCGGGGCCUGUGAGUAAAGUCAAUUUGCCGGUCCUGGGCAGGGGCAAAUCCCCGCGCUUGAUGUGUAGGGAGGGAGGGGGCCUGAACAAUCCUUGAGGAGUAGUAGAAUAGCAGAUGGAACACUGAGAAGUGAUUUCCUUGAGGAUAGAUUUCCACGAUGGAAAGGAAAUGAGAGGUUCUAAGAGACAGGCUAGCGGCUUGUAACCUACAUGGAAGAGGUUGUGAAAUGAUGAUAGAAUAGAAUGGGCCUGUGAGGCUGGAAGGAGAUAUUUUCCUUUGUCUAAGAACCAUUUACAUUGUGUGGGAAGAGAUUGAUAGGUGGAAGUUUCAGUGGGAGAGUAGGUAGGAGUGACCGAUGAGAAGGAGAAAAACUGGCCGUGAGGGACAGAAGUUGGAAAACUAAGCUGCUUCUUUAGCUAACUUAUCAGCAUAAGUGUUGCCCUGAAUGAUGGGAUCUGAUGCCUUUUGAUGGCUCUUGCAGUAAAUGACUCCAGAUUCCUUUGGAAGUAAAGCGACCUUGAGAAGAAUUUUUAUUAAAGAGGCAUUAAUGAUGGAGGACCCUUACAUAGUGAGGAAACCUCUCUCUGCCCAUAUAACAGCAUGGUGGUGCAUGCUGACUCUAUGGAAGGCAUAGAGUCAGUAUAAAUAUUGACACGUACUCCUUCUGCAAGAGUGAGGGCUUGAGUUAAGGCAAUGAGUUUGGCUUGCUGAGAGGUAGUGGAGGGGGGCAGAGUGGUAGCCUCAAUGAUAGGUGUGGAAGUUACUAUAGCAUAGCCUGCCUUUGCUGGUGAGUGGCGAUUAGGCCUGGUGGAACUGCCAUCAAUAAACCAAGUGUGAUCAGGGUGAGGAACAGGAAAGAAGGAAAUAUGGGGAAAUUGAGUAAAUGCUAGGUGGAUUAGAGAGAUACAGUCAUGGGGGGUCAGGUGUGGUAUCAGGAAUAAUGUGGGGGCUAGCCUAAAACAGUAAGGUCAAGUUGUUUGGACAGAAGGGCUGCAGGGGCCGUUCCUGGCUCUUGUGUAAGAAUUCUGACUGCACAACCCUGCACUUUGGCUGUAUGUAAUGAAAAAGUGUUGGGAUGAGUUAGGGAGAGCUAGUGUGGGAGCAGCUUCUAGGGCUGUUUUCAGGGAACGGAAAGAGGAGUGGCGAAAGGAUUUAGGAUCUGUGGGGUCAGCUGGGUUUGCUUUUGUGAGUUUAUAUGAUGGUUUAGUCAGGAUGGUAAAGCUAGGUAUCCAAAGGCGGAGUAUCUAACCAUGCCUAGGAAGGAAAGGAGCUGUUGCUUUGUAGAAGGGGUCGGGGUUUGGGAGAUUAGCUAGACACGAUCAGCAGGGAGAGCACUGUGUUUUCAUGAAGAAUUAAGUCGAGAUAGGUAAAGGAUGAGGAAGAAAUUUGGGCUUGACUGAAGUAACGGGGGGGGGGGGGGCUGUCCGUGAAGCCUUGUGGCAGUACAGCCCAGGUAAUUUGCUGAGCCUGAUGGGUGUCCGGGUCAGUCCAAGUGAAAAUGAAGAGAGGCUGGGAUGAAGGGUGCAAAGGAAUAGUAAAGAAAGCAUGUUUGAGAUCCAGAACAGAAUGGGUUAUGUAGAUUAUGUACAUAUGUAGAUAUGUACAUAUCUACAUAAUAAUAUAUGUAGAGGGGUUCUGGAGGGAGGUAUUGAGGAUAGAAGAGUAUAUGGCUUUGGCGCCACAGGGUGGAUAGGCAAGACAAUUUGGUUGAUAAGGUGCAGAUUCUGAAAUUAACCUGUAAGGCUUGUCCAGUUUUUGGAACAGGUAAAAUGGGGGAAUUAUAAGGAGUGUUUAUGGGUUUUAAAAGGCCAUGCUAUAACAGGCGAGUGAUAACAGGCUUUAAUCCUUUUAAAGUGUGCUGUGGGAUGGGAUAUUGGCAUUGAGUGGGGUAAGAGUGAUUAGGUUUUAAUGGGAUGGUAAGGGGUGCAUGAUUGGUUGCCAAGGUGGGAGUAGAGGUGUCCUAUACUUGUGGAUUAAGGUGGGGAGAUCCAAGGGGAGGGUGUGAAGGCGGCUUUGAACUGGAGAAAAGGGUGGCAAUGAGGUGUGGUUGUAGGCUAGGAAUAGUCAGGGAAGCAGAUAAUUUAGUUAAAAUGUCUCAAUCUAGUAAGGGAUCUGGGCAGGUGGGGAUAACUAAAAAGGGGUGCAUAAAAGAAUGUUGUCCAAGUUGGCACCAGAGUUGGGGAAUUUAAGAGGUUUAGAAGCCUGGCCGCCAAUACCCACAACAGUUACGGAGGCAAGGGAAACAGGCCCUUGAAAAAAAGGUUAAUGUGGAGUGGGUAGCCUCUGUAUUGAUUAAGAAAGGGACAGACUUAUCCUCCACUGUAAGAGUUACCCAAAGUGUCUGUGAUGGUCCAGGGGCUCCCGAGGCGAUGGGCAGCGUCAGUCUUCAGCCACUAAGCCGAGGAGAUCUGGGAAGGAGUUGGCCAAGGAACGUUGGGUUUGGGCUCCAGGUGCUUUAGGAGCAGCGGCGAUGUGAGUCGGACAGUCCGACCUCCAGUGGGGGCGCGCACAGACAGGGCACAGCUUAGGAGGAAUCCCAGGCUGCGGGCAUUCCUUGGCCCAGUGGCCAGGCUUUUGGCAUUUGAAGCAAGGCCCACGAGGAUGUUUUGAAGGAGCCCCUGGGAGCUGUGGCUUGGAUGUUCUGAAGUUCUUGUAUGCUGGAGACGUGGUUGUGGGCUGUCUUACAGCAGAGGCGAGUAGCUGUAACUCAGAAAUGCGUUGCUGUCUGGCUACCUCCUAUUAUUGUACACCUUGAAGGUGAGGUUGAUUAAUUCCUGUUGUGGGGUAUGAGGGCUGGAUUCCAGUUUUUGAAUCUUUUUUCUAACAUCAGGAGCUGACUGGGUGAUAAAAUGCAUAUUAAGAAUAAGGCGGCCUCCUGGCCCCUCUGGGUCUAGGGCGGUAAAGCGUCUAAGGGUUACUGCCAAGUGGGCCAUGAACUGGGCUGGGUUUUCAUCUUCACCUCGGGUAGUUUCUUGUUUGUCAUAAUUAACAGCUUUGUAAGCUGCCUUUUUAAGCCCUUCAACUAGGCAGGAAACCAUGUAAUCUCGCGUAGCUAUACCUGGGGAAUCUGCCUGGUAGUUCCACUGGGGAUCUUCUCGGGGAACUGCUCUGAUGCCCUCCUGGAGGUCUGGCUCGUGAAGCCGGUGGUUGUCAGUGUGAGAUUGGGCUAGAGAAAAAACUCUUUCCCAUUUAUCUGGGGAGAGGGUAGAAGUUAGGAUGACAUUUCAGUCACUCCAGGUUAAACUGUAGGACAGAGUUAGAUAUCGGAAUUCCUGUAUGUAUUUAGUGGGGUCUGAUGAGAAAGAGCCUAAACGCUGGCUGAUUUGGGAAAGGUCUGAUAGAGAAAAAGGCACAUGUACCCUGACAUAUGCCUUCAGCUCCAGCCACCUCUCUAUGAGGAAAUUGUUGGGCAGAUGGGGGAGAGCUGGUCGCAGAAAGAAACUGUAAACCGGACCGGGUGUGGGAGGGAGGUAAUAGAAGGGUUAUAGGGUGGGGAGCAGAGGCUGAAGAAGAGCUGGAGCCUGAUCAGCCUGGCGGGGAGCGAGCUGAGGAGGAGCAGCCUGGGGAGGAGGUGAGGGGUCAGAUGGGUCAGCAGAAAAGGAAGAUUCACAAGACUCAGCAACGCUCGAGGUUGGGACUGAAGGGACAGGCGGGAGGGAAAGGAGGAGGAUUUGGGAUGAGUCACAGUGGGAACAGAGACUAGGGAGGGAACGAAGUCUGAAAAAUGCCUGGACGUAAGGCACCUCAGACUAUUUGCCCAUUUUUCGACAAAAAUUAUCUAGGUCUUGCAGGAUGGAGAAAUCAAAAGUGCCAUUUUCUGGCCAUUUAGAACCAUUGUCGAGUUCGUACUGGGGCCAAGCGGUGUUGCAGAAGAAAAUAAGAUGCUUAGAUUUUAGGUCAAGUGAGAGUUGAAGAGGUUUUAAGUUCUUGAGAACACAGGCUAAGGGAGAAGAAGGAGGAAUGGAGGGUGAAAGGUUGCCCACAGUGAAGGAGGCCAGUUUAAAGAGAAGGGUAGAGACACGGAGAAGGGGGGUAGGGAGCAGCCGUGGGCUGCAAUGUGGGUGAGCAGCCAAAGCAGGUUGUCCCCGCAAUUGACUUGCCACCAAGGGAAUGUGGGUGAAUGACCAAGGCAGGCAUCCCCACAGUGAUUAGACACCAGUGGAGUGUGGGUGAAUAAUCAGGCAGGCGUCCCUGCAGUCAUUAAACACCAGGGGAAGACUGUCUUGCCGAGUCCGUGACUGGCGCCGGAGUUUUGGGUCCACGGAUAAAAUAUGUCUCCUUUGUCUCUACUAGAGAGGAAAAAGAACUGGAAUUGGAAGGACAGGGAGACUGAAGGGUAGCGAGAGAGGCUGGAGAAGAGAGUGAAAAGACCACUUACCCGAUUUGAAAUUCAUGAGAUGUUCCUUGGGCUGGUUGGUCUGAGAACCCGAGGUUGUACGUGGAUCUCCUCAUGGAGUGAGGAUGAGGACAGGGGACCGGUCUCUGUAAGGAGUACUCCCGUCCCGGAUCUUUGGUACCAAAUGUCACGCACGUCACACGCAUCCGUGUGAAGAGACCACCAAACAGGCUUUGUGUGAGCAACAAGGCUGUUUAUUUCACCUGGGUGCAGGCGGGCUGAGUCCAAAAAGAGAGUCAGCAAAGUGUGGUGGGAUUAUCAUUAGUUCUUGUAGGUUUGGGAUAGGCGGUGGAGUUAGGAGCAAUGUUUUGCAGGCAGGGGGUGGAUCUCACAAAGUACAUUCUCAAGGGUGGGAUUACAAAGAAUUACGAAGAACCUUCUUAAGGGUGGGAGAGAUUACAAAGUACAUUGAUCAGUUAGGAUGGGGCAGAAACAAAUCACAAUGGUGGAAUGUCAUCAGUUAAGGCUAUUUUCACUUCCUUUGUGGAUCUUCAGUUGCUUCAGGCCAUCUGGAUGUAUACGUGCAGGUCCCUGGGGAUAUGAUGGCUUAGCUUGGGCUCAGAGGCCUGACACUUGCACAUAAACUGUUUUUUUUUUCUUUCAAUAGUUUUACAUUUAGGAGGCCUAGUUACUUUUAAAUUAUACAACAUUUCUUGCAUAAUUUUUUAUAACAUUUUUCUCUUUCACGACUUUCGCAGACAAUUCUUCGACAUGCCUCAACUUUCUGACUUAUUACAAACAUUUCUUUCUUUAAACAACCAGUUAAUUUAUUUCAGGACAAGAAUUUACCAUAUAACACUCUUUUUAUGUAAAUUCUGCCCCUUCUUUUUUUUUUUCCUGAAGAUGAUAACCAUUCUUUUCCAAAGCGAACUUCUUUUAUGUCUGUGGACUAGACUGUCUGAGGCCACAAGAUCAGAAAUUACUAUAAUACAUGUUACACUGUUAACUUUUAGCAAACUUUACUUUUGUUGAAAACCUUGUAAGCUUGGGAUUUUAAUUAUCCUUUGCUAUUAGUAAGACCUCGUUUUGUCAAAAUUAACUUAGAAUUCGUAUAGAUGGCUUUUUUUUUUUCCUUUAAUUACCUGGGAGGAACCAUAGAUCAUCCUUUCCUGAAGGGAGUUCCUCCUAGGUAUGGUAGGGCCUUUGUACGGUAAUUAAGAUUUAGAUCCCCUGUUAGGAAACCUGCUGGGUUAAGGGAAUUUUCAGUAGUUAAAGUUAAAUCAUCCUUUUUUUUUUUUCCUUAGGCUACUUCUGAACUGGUGAGGUGUGCUCACAAUGAGGUUUCCUGUAAAAGUUAUUUUUUUACUUUUUUCUGUUAGCAAAGCAGUUGCAGCUACAGAUUGAAUGCAUUUGAGCCAUCCACGGGUUACUGGGUUAAGGAUUUUUGAUGGGAAGGCCUCAGUGCUUUCGGGAUAUGCCCUUGUUUACACUGACAACAAAGUGGUAUUGGAGUGUUACAGGGUUACAGAGAAUACUUUCAAUUAUCAAUUAUAGGUUUUAAAUUUAUCUUGGCUUUUAAAGGAAUAGGGUACAGUGUUGUUGUUGUUUCUAACUACUUGUAUAUAUAUCUCUUUUUUUCUUUUUUUCCUCUUGAUUUUCUGUCUCUUUCUCUUUGACUUUCCUUUUGCCUCUGUCUCUUUCUCUCUCUCUCUCUGACUCCCUCUUUGUCUGUCUCUUCCUCUUUCUCUCUCUGCUGGUCUUUCCUUGCCUCUGCCAGCCACUUAUGCUGCUGUUCUCUCAACCACUGUUGGGGCGGGCGGGUGGGGAGUCUAAAACCAGCUGUAACCAAGUGUCUGUGUACGGGAACUGGUGUGGGUACCCUGGCUUACAGGUUACCUUGUGCCAUACCUUUGAAACAAGGGACCUGUCCAGGCUUCACUCUGAUGGCCAACCUACCUCUAAUGCUGGCCAGUCUAUCUUACACAAAGUUUUAAGUUUUCCUGGUGUCAUAGUACUCCAUAGUCUCCCUUAAAUCCUUUCCUGAAAUUUUUCAGCAUAGUUCCUAGUGGGGUGGUCUUACUUUGUGCUUGACCCAUGCUUCUUCAAGACAAAACAUUACGCUCACCCUACACGCAUACCACAAAACAAAGAACAGGUAAAAAGGGCACACACACACUUUUACAGUUUACACCAAACCAAAAUCAAAACCAAAAUCAGAGUAUCAGGAUAUCCAAGUCAGGUCAAAACCAAAACCAAAGUAUCAAGCAAUCCAAGUCAAGUCAAAAACAAAAACCAGAGUGCCAGUACAGGCACGCCGUGGGUGAUCAGGCCACGCUUCCCCUCAAAUGGAGUGGGCAAGUUCCAAAGACCAGUCUUACCAAGUUUCAGAUGUCUGGACUCCAAGUGGCAGUUCCUUCCCGGUGUUCAGCCACUGCGUUGAUCCUCCUCGGGGGCCUGCUACACACUGCUCUGGCCAGGCAUUCCACUGGGGCAAUUGCCUGCCUGAGAGCGCUCUCAGGAUCCAUGUCGCUCAAGCUGGCUGGAGUCCUCCACAGGGAUGCUCCACAGGGCAGGCCUAAGCCGUCUGAGGGGCUGCCUCAACCAUCCAUUAAUCACCUAGAUUCCUGGUCAGGGAACCAAGAAAUGUAGCAGGACAAGCUGCAGAGAAAACCCCUCAGACACGAGUUAAAGAAGGGCUUUAUUCAGCCGGGCGCUUCGGCAAGACUCAUGUCUCCAACAACUGAGCUCCCCGAGUGAGCAAUUCCUGUCCCUUUUAAGGGCUCACAACUCUUAAGGGGUCUGCGUGAGAGGGUCGUGAUUGAUUGAGCAAGCAGGGGGUACGUGACUGGGGGCUGCAUGCACCCGUAAUUAGAACGGAACAGAACAGGACAGGGAUUUUCACGGUGCUUUUCUAUAUAAUGUCUGUAAUCUAUAGAUAGCAUCACUGAUUAGGUCAGGCGUCGAUCUUUAACUACCAGGCCCAGGGUGUGGUGCAGGCUGUCUGCUUGUGGAUUUCAUUUCUGCCUUUUAGUUUUUACUUCUCUCUUUGGAGGCAGAAAUUGGGCGUAAGACAAUAUGUGGGGUGGUCUCCUCCCUUAAGAGCACUGACAGAUAUUUCACAGACGAGGAAACUGAAGCUUAGAGAGGUCGAGCCACUUGCCCAUGGCUGUAGAACUGGCAAAUGGGAGAGCCAGGACCCACAUUCAGGCCUGUCUGGGCUGGGCUGUGUGUCAGCUUUGUUGGGUUCCAGAGUGGUCAGGGUGAAGGAGCCCUUGGAUUUGGUAAUUAGGAGUCACUCAUGGACCUGUGGCGAUGGGGCAAAGAUCGUGGGUUCUGAGGAAGUGGCUGUCCUCUGGGUUGAGGUUCUGUUGCGCUUCAGGGCACAGGUAGCAGUGAUCAUGAAGGAAUACUGGGGAAGGUAGGACCCUUAUAGUAAGUUUAGGUGUGAGGGGAAGCACAGCAGGGCUGAAGGCGUUUUUUAUGGGCUGUGGAGCACCUGAGCAGGGGCAGCCUGGUGGAGCACUUGCUGGACCCAGGGCCCCUCCAGUCUCUCCUGCUUCCCCCUGCUUUGGCCCCAGGUUGCUUUCGCAUACACCCCCACCUCCUCAAAAGGGCUAUCCCCAGCAUAUCCUGCAGAGAGGGUGAUUAGGUGUGACUUCUGACCAAAGUUGCUCUGGUUGGGGGGGGGGGGUGGGGGGGAAAUGCACUUUCCUGGCGCUUGUUUUUCCAGCUGGAAACGGGAUUCGUAAUGGUAAUGGUUGAACUUAAUGAACGUGAUAGGAUGAGAAUAAUGCAGAAUGCAAUAUAAAUGCUAAUCAUGGCUUGGAUUGUUACUCAGCUCGAGGCUCAGGUUUUCUCCAGCCACCUCCCCAGUUAUGCAACCUUCACACUUUAUGUAUCAAAUCAGAGGUGUUUUCCUUCAGCACACUAGUGCCUGUGUGCAUGGCUAGACUUGGGUGGCUUUACCUACUUGGCCCUGAGCUGACAUUUUCUUCCCAAUAUUUAUCACUGGAAGUUUGUUUCUAAAUUGGAAUUGCCUGAACAUACAGGAGUAACUGAAAUAGCUCAGGGCCGUCUCGGUUAACACAUGCACAAAGUCUCAUAACUAUUCAUGAAAGGCAAAUAAUUUGCACACACAAUAAGGUCCUUAUUUUAUUUUUUUUUGAGACAGGGUCUCACUCUGUCACCCAGGUUGGAGUGCAGUGGUGCAAUCAUAGCUCACUGCAGCCUCAAACUCCCAGGCUCAAGCAAUCCUCAUACCUCAGCCUCCCAGGUAGCUGGGAUUACAGGUGUGCACACCUAAUUUUUUCAGUCAGGUCUCAAAGAGAAGGAGAUAAUGAUCAGUUGUGAAGAUUUUCAGGUAAAUCACCACCAAGGUAGGGCUGAAAGCAGAAAGAACUCUGCAGCAGGGAACUGUCCAGGGAGGCGGGUAUGAGUGGGAGUGAGGAUGAAUAAAGGGUUGGGAGGGGGAAGGUCAGGGUUGGUGAUGAGGCAUCCAUGGCGGAAACGGGAACUGCAGGGUGAGGUGAGGCUGGCGCAGGGCAGACAAAGUGAGUCUUCCGGUGCAGGCCAGCAUGCCUCCUCUUCUUGCUGUGGUUCUAGACCACAGGUUUCUCGCCUGGAAGAACCUUUCCUUUUUGGAAGAGAAAAUGCAGUUUUCCCCCUGAAGGGGCAUUUUUAGCACUCCAACGUCAGUGGGCUCCUGGAAGGGUUACUGUUUAUCUCUUACCCCGCAAGUGGACUCAGGGGUGAAGUUAGUUAGCUCCUACCUGUACCCCGUUAGCUGCAGCCCCGCUGUGUCCAGUGAAGUCAUUUCAGGCAGGGCAUGGGGGACUCCUUCUGAGGCAGAGGUGUAAGCGUUUCAGUCCCAGAUCGGCUACAGGGAGUGGCGCUCAGCUCCACUGUGGAGUCGCCAGGAUGCUGUCAUUUUGUCCAGAGGAAAAGUCCACCGUCUCACAUGUGAAGGCAGAGCCUGUUUUCUGUGUGCACAGUCUGAACACACUACUUCAUGGGUGCUUCUAAAGGACAUUUCCACAAAGAACACAAACGAUUCCCAAAAGCCUAGCUGAUGUCUAUGUGCCAUAAAUAGAAGCUCUGCCCCCAGAGAGAAGAGUUCUUUAGCAGCAAAACUCCAGUUUAUUAAGACAGGUGUGACAAGUAAAAUAAAAUUCAUUUUUUUUUUUUUUGCCUCUGCUAGGCCAGUAUAUUUCUGUACAAACAAGAUAAUGCAAGAUUUGACAGUUAAGGCUUUGAAGCACAGCACACAAAAUGAAACAAUUUAAAACCCCUUCAUAAAAAUGGGAAAAAUUCCCAGGCCAAAGGAAAAAAAAAGCCUUCACAGAAAGAGACUGACACUCGACUCCCCCCCUGCUGAGGUGUGGCCAGUGAGUCUGGGUGUGAGCUGCCACCUGACAGCCAGCUCUGAGGUAUCAAAGGAGCUCCGAGUGCAAGUUGAAGACUUCAGCAAGCCAGCCCCCGGCCCCCACACCCGUUCAUAGGCAGUCGGAAUGCAGAUCUCGGUGGCAGGUGGCUCUGCACAGUCCAGAGUGAUAAAACAAUCACAGAUGACUAAAUGCCAGGGACUGUGUGAAGUCAGUUACUGCCUGCAGUCUGGGUCACUCUGCCCUUCAUCAGACACUGGUGGCACCAUGACAGUGAGGAGAACGGAGCACAGUUCCUUCCGUGCCUCCUGCCGGCGCUGCUCAAGGUGUGCAUGGCUGAGUCCUGGACAAGCAUUUUGUAUUUUUGUAGUUCUCACUCCUUAGGCCCAAUUUCAAGUUAAGUCGUUAACUCAUUUAGAAUGAAUAUUAAGGAUACUGCCUCUAACAUAUCAAUAGCUGUGCUGAGCUGUCUAGGAAGAGAAAUUAGUCCAGAGAGGUCCUAAGUAUCAAAGCAGAUUUUGUAAAGAAAAAAGGCAACACGUCAGUGAGAAAAGCAGCACAAGAUCCGGGCUCGGGGACUCUUUUCCCUCUUUCCGAAACAUAACUGGUUUUGUAUGUGCUCUGAGUCCUAGUUUUUAUGUCUUGGCUGAGAACCACAGAAAGGACUAGAUAUUCAUACAUGCGAGAGCACACUGAGACUGCAUGUUUAUUUGGCAUAAUGCUAGAAAAAAGUCCGCAAAGAACUGCCAGAACCAGGCCUGUGACCAAGUUUACAGUCAUCUAGUUUCUCUCACAAUUUCAAAAUGUCAGAUCAGAAGAAUCUUUGGCGAUUAAUCCACUCUCCAUUUUAUGCGUGAGAAAACCAAGGCCCUGAUGGUGUCCCUGGUCCAAGUCCAGUGCCUUUCACAAUGAGGCUUUUGGCUCUUACCCUCUGAAGUGGGGCAGUGGCUCACUGUGAGGGGAGAGGGUCAGAUCUUGUUAGUUUGAUCUUAAGGCACUCACAAAAUGCCCUGAUUUUUCUUGUCUUUGUGAGAAGACAAAAAACAGUCUGGUAGUUUUUCACAUCAUCGUGGGAACCCAGAAAUAUAUGUACAGUACUCAGAAUUUAAGGGAAUGGAAGAAAGAAGAAAAUGAGAUUCUCUUUUGUGAGUACAGAAUUAGAAGAAAAAAAAAAAGAGGGGUGGGCAGUGCCAGAGGCGAACGGGCACAGGUCAUUACUGCGUGUGUGGCUGAGCUACAAGUCUCCUGGAAUGUAAACAAUGUUGGUUUAUUUCCAAUUUCAUCUAAUCUUCAUUGUCAUCUCUCAAUGAACAGUACUCAUAAAAUGAUGAGAAAGUUUCAGAACAUGUAUGUACAUGGUUCAGAAACAGCUCGGCUUUCAAAAAGCUGUCAGCUCAGGUAGCACGCCUUGGUCUUGAAUUCGGUGCUACGCUGACAGCUCUCCUUCUGAAUGCAAAGGCACCAGUCCAUGAUCAAGUCCACGCCGCAGACGAGGAGAGAGGAGUCUUCUCUCCAAAGUCAUCCAAAGAUAGCUGAGGAAAUAAUUCUAUCUCAUUUCUCGAUUCCAUUUCAGCACAGCAGCUGUUUUCCACACUGAGACACAGCUGGCGAGCAGUAUCUCUUCUGGGAACUGAGAUGCCAUUUCAGGAAGAAUUUCACUUUCUUUAGUUUGCAUGUAACUUACGAGAGUGUCUCUCAGGCUGAAAAACCAAAGAAGAGAGCAUUUAAAACAGUCUCCUCAGCAUGGUGGCUCACGUGUGUAAGCCCAGCACUGUGUGGCUCACGUGUGUAAGCCCAGCACUGUGGGAGGCUGAGGUGGGUGGGUCAGUGGAGGUCAGGAGUUCAAGACCAGCCUGGGCAACAUGGCGAAACCCUGUCUCUAGCAAAAAUACAAAAAUUAGCUGGGCACGUGGUGGUGUAUGCCUAUAGUCCGAAGCUACUCAGGAGGCUGAGGUGGGAGGACCACUUGAGUCCAGGAGGUGGAGGCUACAGCGAGCUGAGAUUGCACAACUGCACUCCAGCCUGGGCCACAGUGAGAUCCUGUCUCAAAAAAAAAGGCUCCCAUAUAACAUAAGGGGACCAAUCAGUCCCCUCAUGUUACUUUUUCCCGUUGUCAUCAGCAGAACCAAAAUGCUCGUUAAGACUUAAAAUCCUAGGCCAGGCGCAGUGGCUCACGCCUAUAAUCCUAGCACUUUGGGAGGCUGAGGCAGGUGGAUCACUUGAAGUCAGGAGUUCGAGACCAGCCUAGCCAACAUGGAGAAACCCUGUCUCUAGUAAAAAUACAAAAAUUAGCCAGGCAUGGCGGUGGGUGCCUGUAAUCCCAGCUACUCGGGAGGCUGAGGCAGGAAAAUCACUUGAACCCAGGAGGUGGAGCUUGCAGUGAGCCGAGAUUGCACCACUGCACUCCAGCCUGGGCGACAGAGCGAGAAAAAAAAAAAACCCAGAAAUCCUGAGGAGCAGUUUAAGGUCAAUGACCUGAGCUCCUGAACUGGGACUAGCAUCCUGGGUUCAAGGCUCUGGUGCCUGACUGCUGCUUCCCACAUGCAGUACACAAACACGACAGAAGCCCACGGAGCAAGCCCUGUGCUGGCCCCUUCACAUGACUUUAGGCCCUCUAGCAAGGUGAUGUUUAUUUACAGGGUUGCAUAAACAAGGCCUCACCAUUCAAAAAACCUUGUAUUCUAUUACAUGUUUCACAUUAACAAAGACUGGAAAUUCUCUAGGAAAGGGAUCUUUUUUAUCUACAUGAAAAGCACAGGCUAGUAAAGACUUGUUGAAAAAGUUGAAAGAACAUAAAUGUAUAUGGUAUAUGCCACAUAGCAUAAUGGAGGAAGAUAGCAAAUAGGAAACAUAUUGGUGAGGAAGACUGGAGUUUGAUGAUCUAGUCAGGAAAACAUCAAGUUAAAUCCUUACUUUACACCUAAACAUAAACUGGUGAAUAAAACAAGUAUGUGAAAGCACAAGAAGAGAGAGGACAGGCCGGGCGCAGUGGCUCACGCCUGUAAUCCUAGCACUUUGGGAGGCCGAGACGGGCAGAUCACUUGAGGUCAGGAGAUCGAGACCAGCCUGGUCAACAUGGUGAAACCCGUCUCUACUAAAAGUACAAAAAAAUUAGCCGGGCAGGUGCAUGCCUGUAGUCCCAGCUACUCGGGAGGCUGAGGCAGGAGAAUCGCUUGAACCCAGGAGGCAGAGGUUGCAGUGAGCUAAGAUGACACCAUUGCACUCUAGCCUGGAUGACACAGCAAGACUCCAUCUCAAAAAAAAAAAAAAAAAAAAAAAAAAAAGGCUAGUUUAUAAUCCUGGGAUAAGGAAGAUCCUAGUAAGUGUUUUUGUAUAGAGACCCUUUAUAGGAAAAUUCUGUCAGAUUUGACUUCAUAAAAUUAAAGGCUGAAAUAGAGCACUGUGGCACACGGCAGAGAAGAUGAACCCCUGUUCUAUGCAAAGAGCUCUCACAACCAUUACAGAGACAAAGCGCAAAAGAAAAAGAUACGAAGAGGUAAUUUAGGCUGGGUGUGGUGGCCAAAGCUUGUGAAUCACUUGAGGUCAGGAGCUCGAGACCAGCCUGGCCACGUGGAGAAACCCCGUCUCUGUACUAAAAUAGAAAAAAUUAGCUGGGCGUGAUGGUUGGCACCUGUAAUCCCAGCUACUAGGGAGGCUAAGGCAGGAGAAUCGAUUGAACCCAGAAGGCAGCGGUUGCACUAAGCCAAGAUUGCGCCACUGCACUCCAGCUUGGGUGGGAGUGAGACACGGUCUCAAAAAAUAAAACAUAAAGGCAAUUCAGAGGAUGAUAUACAAAUGGGUGAUAAAUAUAAAAAACAUGUUCAGCCUCACGGUAAAUGGGGAAAUACAACUGAAAAUGAGAUACCAUUUUGGCCUUUAGAUUGGCAACUAUGUAAAAGAUGGAUAAUAUCCAAUGUUGAGUAUUCUCAUACACUCUUUAUACAUUGGUAUAGCUUUUUCUAUUCUUUUUUUUGUUUGUUUUUGAGAUGAAGUCUCCCUCUGUUGCCCAGGCUGGAGUGCAGUGGUGCGAUCUCAGCUCACUGCAAUCUCCACCUCCCAGGUUAAAGCAAUUCUCCUGCCUCAGCCUCCUGAGUAGGUGGGACUGCAGGUGUGUACCACCAUGCCUGGCUAAUUUUUGUAUUUUUAGUAGAAACAGAGUUUCACCAGUUGGCCAGGCUGGUCUUGAACUCCUGACCUCAGGUGAUCCACCCACCUCGGCCUCCCAAAGUGCUGGGAUUACAGGGUAAGCCUCCACACCCGGCCUAGGAUAGCUUUUUCUAUCAAAUUUAAAAUGUACCUCUCUUUGACAUAGUCUACUUGUUAUAAAAUUAGAAUAUAUGACUUUUAGGCUGGGUGUAGUGGCUCACGCCUUUUCAUUCUAGCACUUUGAGAGGCCAAAGCGGGCAGAUCAUUUCAGGCCAGGAGUUCGAGACCAGCCUGGCCAACACAGUGAAACUCUGUCUCUACUAAAAAUACAAAAAUUAGCCAGGCAUGGUGGUACACGCCUGUAGUCCCAGCUAUUUGGGAAGCUGAGGCAUGAGACUCGCUUGAACCUGGGAGGCAGAGGUUGCAGUGAGCCAAGGUUGCAGUGAGUUGAGAUUACUCCACUGCACUCCAGCCUGGGUAACAGGGCAAGACUCUUGUCUGAAAAACACUUGUGUAAUUGCUUAAAGAAAACCCAGUAGAGAUUAAAACCAAAAAGCCAGUCCUCAGGUGCCCUGGUAAUGACAAAAAGCAGGAAAUGGGAUUCUGUGGUAAGAAAAGAACUAUUUUUGUGUCUAUAGAAGAUCACAGGAGAGACAGCACAACAUUGUGUCUGCCCCGCCCCAUAGGUGUGCAAAUCCAUACCUCCACUGAGGGCGGAAGCGCUCCUCGGUUUGGGUUUGGGGGUUCUUUAGUUUCAAGAUUAUCAUUUCGUGCAGCUCUAGCAGGAAGGCGUCUAGGCCAGUCUGAUUUAGGAAUGUGCUGAGGAGCUUAGCAUUUUCCGGGCUCAGAUCCGCUUUGUACCUUGAACUGAUUUCCCCAAAUGGCUCCUAAAACGACGGAAGAGCAAAUGAAGCAUUAAAGCCUGCAGGGAGAAGGGAGCGCAGUCCCUCUGUCCAGCAGAGAGGAAGAGACCAGACUUACUUUGUGCAGCCGCAGCAGCUGUUCAGACUUAUGAGCAGACAGGAACUGCCAGAGGGCAAUGGUGUGUUUUAACUGGCAUCUGUUUAAGGCCUGCAGAAGGAAUAGAAUUCCUGAGUGGGGGCUGAGGUCUCACACCCCCACUCAUGUCGUGCACCAGGGAGCCUGAGUGCUCUCCACACAGGCAUUCUUCUCUUCGUUCUGCCCUGUACUAAUGUGAUCUCCCUCCUUGUGAAGGCCAUCUCUGUCCUAUCUACCAGUUCCCUCCUGCGGCACCUCACAGCCCGCUCACAUCACGCUGUUUGCAGGGGCCUCAUGUACUCAGUCACAUUUGGGCUCUAUCUAGACUGCUGGCAUUUCUAGCGCGUGUCUGUCUCUACUGUCCCUGGUGUGUCCUGUUUAUGCUGGACUGACUGGGUGAGCAGUUGUUCUUGUCUCCCCAUCCUUUUCAGGAGCGCCUAGAGUGGCACUCCCUGAAUGCUCCUAUCCCUCGCGGGAAGCAGGAGACCAGGGUGAGGGGCUGUGCUGAUUUCCUUUUCGGUGUGAGACCCACCUUUAACACGUGAAUCGUCUGAUCACCCAUUUGCAGGAUGUCUUGAGUAUACACAUUCAGCUGCAUGUUUGGAUCCCCACCAGCUGUGCUCAGAAACCCCAGAGUGACUUCUACGACAGACAGCACUUCACAGGCAUCGCUGUAGGACUGCAGCUGUCCACUGAUGGCACUAAUGACCGAGCUGGGGAGGGAGUCCUGGGAAAUGAAAAGCAGGAGAGGGAUGUCUGUGGGCUGGGUUUCUGGCAUCUCACCACCUGGUAAGAGAGCCGAGCCCCUUCACUGCCCAAGCCACAUGCGGGGGGCCAACUCUCUAACAGCUGACACUUGGGCGCACGGUGUGCAGGCAGUUCCUGGAGGCCAUGGAGACACACAGGUCUACCUAUCAGUACCCGCAUGCGGAGAGCAGGAACAAAUCGGUUCCAUGGACUUCCCGCUUCAGCAGGCAUGGCCAUGCAUCAACAUCAUUCCUAAGAAUCAAACCCACAAGAUGUCAAUCUGCUUUUACUCUACAAGAAAACUUGCUGAUUUGCUGUCUUGCUUGCUCUCUGUAAGGGAGGCCGCAGAAACUGUGGGCUCACAGCAAACACCCGGGGCAAGGCUGGAGUAGGCCUAACACGGAGGGAAACACACUGAGAAGGCAGAAAGCCCCGUGCACAGGAUCAGGUUUAUCGGGAUCACCUGUGCCAUUUUGUUCUUGAUGUCCAUAAAGAGAUGUUCAUAGUUCCAGUCGUGUCUGUACACCAGAGUGGGUAUUCCCUAAAUUGGGAAAGAAAAAAGUUUUUUAAAAUUAAAUCCAUCGUGGACAUUUCCAGCAGAUGACAAACAGAAUCUGCAGCCGGAAAACUGCAGCGUAGUGCCGCGCUGCCCUGUGUAUCCCUUGGCUAAGAGCGCCCCUCUCCGUCAUUAACCCACCAUCUAUGGAAAUAGUAACACAACCGGGAAUCCAGCGGAGUCCUCACAGCCAAUUACAUGACAAGAUAUUGUCACAUCAUCGUGGCCUGCUUCGCCACAGGAGGCGCUAGGGCAACAGGUAUUUGUGCAUAUCCCAUUCAUUUAUUCAUUCAGCCACUAAAGGCACAGACCAUGCACAGGCAGUCACUCUGCCAGAGGAAAUGGCUGUGAGAAUGAAUUAAAAACAGCCUUUGGGAGGCAGAGACGGGCAGAUCACGAAGUCAAGAGAUCGAGACCAUCCUGGCUAACAUGGUGAAACCCCGUCUCUACUAAAAAUACAAAAAAAUUAGCCGGGCAUGGUGGCGGGCGCCUGUAGUCCCAGCUACUCGGGAGGCUGCGGCAGGAGAAUGGCAUGAGUGAACCCGGGAGGUGGAGCUUGCAGCAAGCUGAGAUUGCGCCACUGCAAUCCAGCCUGGGUGACAGAGCGAGACUCCGUCUCAAAAAAAAAAAAAAAAAAAAAAAAUCCAUGGGCUCUCACAGUUCCUGGCCCAGUUGCGGGUGGUACCGUACAUAAGUACAGUAGAUAUGACUGCAGCUGGAAGGAACAAGUGCGUCCAGUCAAAGAACAGAGAUGGGAAAGUGCCUGCUGUGUGGCUUCAGUGCAUGAGGUCACGGGAUGCAGUUCAGGGAAAUGGGCUAAGUGGCUGGAGGCAGGGCUGGAAGGUUGGGCUGGGCCGAGCUACAGGGCCUCCCAUACCAGACAACAGAGUGUCGGCUUUAUCCCAUAUGCCAUGAGAGGCCAGGCAGGUCCAUCCGGCACAGGAUGAAGAGAGCCAGAUGUGGGUUUUAGGCCGUGGACUGAAGAACCUGGAGGUGGGCACCAGUUAGGAGUGGCUAGCAGUCCAACGUACAGGAUGCUUUUAACUACAGGGUGGGCUUUGGCAGUCAGGUGAGGACACACAGAAGGCACAGCUAAUGGCAUCUGCUGGCAGGUUACCCAUGGAGGCUGAAGGAAGAGGGGCUGUGGGGGUGGUGGUGCCAUUAACUGGUAGAAUCAAGACCUCAACAAUCAGCUGGGUGCAGUGGCUCACGCCUAUAAUCCCAGCACUUUGGGAGGCCUAGGCGGGUGGAUCCCUUGAUCCCAAGAGUUCGAGACCAGCCGGGCAACGUGGUGAAGCCCCAUCUCUACCAAAAAAUACACAAAUUAGCUGGGCAUGGUGGUGCACACUUGUGAUCUCAGCUAUUUGGGAAGCUGAUGUGAGAGGAUCGCUUGAGCCCAGAGGUGGAGGCUUGGCACCACUGCCCUGCAGCCUCGGUGACAGAGUGAGACCCUGUUUCAAAAAAAGACCUCAACAGUUCCUUGGGGGACUGAGGUGCAGAUGGCCCUGCAGGAGAGGGCUCAGGAGAGCCCUGCGGCCCGGAGAUACAGGUGGCGUGGUGGCCUCGGGAGCUGCAGGUGUGAGGGAGGAGAUACAGACCAGACUGCAGGGUGAGGUGCUGCUUCCCUCUCUCGAGAAACACACCAAGGGCUGCUUGUUCACAACAGACACACCAAAUGAGCAGCAGUGGCAGGAGUCAGCCCUACCUUGAGGCUCAGCCGGGGCUUGCCCUGGAGGAAGCGGCUGACGAUCUGCCGCUGAAUCUUCUCCAGAUCGAACUCCUGCACGGUCUCUCUGCCCUCCUCCACCUGGUACUGGCAGUUGGAGAGAAUCAGUGGAGUCAGGUCCCGCUCCACUUCAUAACUGAUGACAUGCAGUUCAGUGACCUCGGCGGCAUCCACGGAAUAGCUGAGGGGCAGAAAGACAGCGCUCAGCGUCCAGGCCAGGCAUGCGGGCCUAGGGCUCUAUGUUGCAGGGAGCAGGCUCCCAUUUCUCACAGUUGGAGCAGUGGAAAACCCUACCCAAGUAUGGGGCGGGUCACUGGUGGGGGCGGCUGAAGGAGUGAGUGUCUGUUAGGGAAGGGGCUGAAGCUUGCUUGUGUCUGCCCCACUGGGCUUAGGGACUCUGGGCUGAGCAGGCACCACUUCCUGGUGGCUCGUGCACAAACCUGUUGUUUUCCUUGGAGAGUUUUUCCACGGCGUAGACAAUUUCAUUGUGUAGGCGAAUCAAGUAGCUGACGAGAGCGGUAGCACAGAGGCCCAGGCCCCGUCGGCGUGGCAAGAGGAUCUCAAACUCAGUGUCCAGAUCCAAGUCAGUGCUGCAGUAGUCUUUGGGUAGGUUGAGGGGACA